AGCCGCGGUAAUACAUAGGGGGCAAGCGUUAUCCGGAAUUAUUGGGCGUAAAGGGUGCGUAGGCGGUUAGUAAAGUUUAAGGUAUAAGCUCAUGGCUCAACCAUGGGAGGCUUUAGAAACUGGCUAACUUGAGUGCAGUAGAGGCAAGUGGAAUUCCAUGUGUAGCGGUAAAAUGCGUAAAUAUAUGGAGGAACACCAGUAGCGAAGGCGGCUUGCUGGGCUGUAACUGACGCUGAGGCACGAAAGCGUGGGGAGCAAACAGGAUUAGAUACCCUGGUAGUCCACGCCGUAAACGAUGAGUACUAAGUGUUGGGGUAGCCCAGUGCUGAAGUUAACGUAAUAAGUACUCCGCCUGAGUAGUACGUGCGCAAGCAUGAAACUCAAAGGAAUUGACGGGACCCCGCACAAGCGGUGGAUCAUGUUGUUUAAUUCGAGGAUACGCGAAGAACCUUACCAGGUCUUGACAUACCAUGCAAAGCUAUAGAGAUAUAGUGGAGGUUAACAUGGAUACAGGAGGUGCAUGGCC
rnacentral:rRNA from 1 species